AAAGUAUAAUAAUUUAGUUGAACCCUUUGUUUUCCGCCAUGUAGAAACUGAAGUACCGGUAGAUUCAACGUUCACCUAAGAAGAUGCACUCCUACUUUCUUUAUGGAGUACUUGUGCAAUUGUUGAAAGUUAAAUAAAAAUGAACAAAUCCACCUACUUAAUCCACCCAAUCCCAACCCAAGAGAAAAAACAAGCAGCCGGUGUGGAUAUUUUGCUCUUACAGCGCCUUCAGCAAUCUGACCGAGGGUCUCGCAUCGUGUCAAUAUUGUGUUCUGCUGGUGUAAUAAUCGCUAUGGAGUUCUCUGGAGACCACACCUGGCUGGCUGUGUUGAGUUCUGAGCCUCUCAAUUGCAUGCAAGAGGCUGGAAAGAUUUGAGAGAAGAUUGCUAAAAGUACUUCAGGGGCCCUGGAGGCACUGA